CCUACGGGAGGCAGCAGUAAGGAAUCUUCCACAAUGGACGAAAGUCUGAUGGAGCAACGCCGCGUGCAGGAUGAAGGCUUUCGGGUCGUAAACUGCUUUUAUAUGGGAAGAUUAUGACGGUACCAUAUGAAUAAGGACCGGCUAACUACGUGCCAGCAGCCGCGGUAAUACGUAGGGUCCAAGCGAUAUCCGGAAUUACUGGGCGUAAAGCGUGUGUAGGUGGAUUAAUAAGUGUGAUGCGAAAUCCGGCGGCUCAACCGUCUGGACUGUGUCGCAUACUGUUAGUCUAGAGGACGGCAGAGGUAAGUGGAAUUACGGGUGUAGCAGUGAAAUGCGUAGAUAUCCGUAGGAACACCAAUGGCGAGGGCAGCUUACUGGGCCACACCUGACACUGAGACACGAAAGCGUGGGGAGCGAACAGGAUUAGAUACCCUGGUAGUCCACGCCGUAAACGAUGCAUACUAUUAGUAUGGGGUAUCGACCCCCUGUGCUGAGAAGCUAACGCGAUAAGUAUGCCGCCUGGGGAGUACGAGCGUAAGCUUAAAACUCAAAGGAAUUG
rnacentral:rRNA from 1 species